rnacentral:lncRNA from 1 species
GUCCGAAUAUACAUACAAUAGUGAAUAAAGUAUGGGUUGUGUUAAGAUGAAGAUACACUAGAUUUAUUUAAAAUGGCUGAUUACGAACAGCAUCUUCUAUUCACCAGUAAAAGUAUGAACAAGUUGAUUUGGUGAAAUCUGAUGUGUUGAAUGCAUUAAGUGUGUUUGUCGGCUUGGAACAUACAGAGGAAAUAUUUGUGUAUGAAGACGGAUAUCGGAAGAAACUUCUAAAACUGAAAGCAACUGUACCUGUCCACAUUGGAGGUUCGGAGUAUAAUGUUCCAAUUUCUAUAUGGCUAAGCAAACGACAUCCGUUCAGACAACCUAUAGUGUAUGUGACUCCUACCUCUCGGAUGCAUGUCAUGUCUGGGAAUUUUGUUGACAUGAAUGGAAAAGUUAAUAUACCAUACCUAACUGAUUGGAAUUACCCGAACUCCGAUCUGCAGAGUUUAAUACAAAUUAUGACAACUGUAUUCUCGGAUGAACUUUCCAUUCGUGGUAAAUCUUUAUCCAAACCUUGUGAUAUGUCAUGUCACAGAGUGCACGUGCUGCGUUUCAUCCAGAAGAUAAUGGCACAGAAAGUGAAGACAGUGUAUACACUGCUGGAACAGAACACGG